rnacentral:rRNA from 1 species
AUGAGGUGUGGAUAGCGGAGAAAUUCCAAUCGAACCCGGAGAUAGCUGGUUCUCCCCGAAAUAGCUUUAGGGCUAGCGUCGAGGUAAGUUGCGUGAAGGUAGAGCACUGAAUAUGUGAUGGCCCCAUCUCGGGGUACUGAGCAUAAUCAAACUGCGAAUGUCACGCCAACAUGCUCGGCAGUCAGACAGCGGGUGAUAAGGUCCGUUGUCAAGAGGGAAACAGCCCAGACCAUCAGCUAAGGUCCCAAAAUGUAUGCUAAGUGGAAAAGGAUGUGGAGAUGUACAGACAACUAGGAGGUUGGCUCAGAAGCAGCCAUCCUUUAAAGAGUGCGUAACAGCUCACUAGUCGAAUGACUCUGCGCCGAUAAUUUACCGGGGCUAAGCAUACUACCGAAGCUAUGGAUCCCAAGGGAUGGUAGGGGAGCGUUCCAUGAACGGAGAAGUACGACCGAAAGGACGUGUGGAGAUCAUGGAAGAGAGAAUGCCGGUGUGAGUAGCGGAACGUGGGUGAGAAUCCCACGCACCGAAAACCCAAGGUUUCCAGAGGAAGGUUCGUCCGCUCUGGGUAAGUCGGGACCUAAGGCGAGGCCGAAAGGCGUAGUCGAUGGACAACAGGUAGAGAUUCCUGUACCCGUAUAUAUGUGAAGGAAUGACGGAGAGAGGAAGCUGCAGCCAGCGGCUGGAAGAGCUGGUGCAAGCGAGAUAUCGGGAUGGCAGGCAAAUCCACCAUCCGAAACGAGAAGGCGUGAAGCGUACGGAAAGCUACGGCGAGUACGGAAGGCAGUGGAGGAACUUCCAAGAAAAGUUUCUAACGUAAAGUAUAUAUGGCCCGUACCGAAAAUGGACACACAUGGGUGAGGAGAGAAUCCUAAGGUGAGCGAGAGAACUAUAGCUAAGGAACUCUGCAAAAUGACUCCGUAACUUAGGGAGAAGGAGUGCUCAUAGAGAUAUGAGCCGCAGUGAAACGGCCCAAGCGACUGUUUACCAAAAACACAGGACUCUGCAGAAGCCGCAAGGCGACGUAUAGGGUCUGACGCCUGCCCGGUGCCGGAAGGUCACGCGGAGGAGUUAGCGCAUCGCGCGAAGCCCCGAAGCCAAGCCCCGGUAAACGGCGGCCGUAACUAUAACGGUCCUAAGGUAGCGAAAUUCCUUGUCGGGUAAGUUCCGACCUGCACGAAAGGCGCAACGACUUGGGCGCUGUCUCGACCAUGGACCCGGUGAAAUUGCACUGGUCGUGAAGAUGCGACUUACCCGCGGAAGGACGGAAAGACCCCGUGAACCUUCACUGCAGCUUGGCAUUGGCCGCUGGUCCCGCGUGUAGAGGAUAGGCAGGAGGCAUCGAUCCGGAGGCGCCAGCCCCCGGGGAGCCGCCCUUGGAAUACUGCCCUCGCGCGACCGGCGUCCUAACCCGAGGCCGUCAACCGGCUCGGGGACCGUGCCAGGCGGGCAGUUUGACUGGGGCGGUCGCCUCCUAAAGGGUAACGGAGGCGCGCGAAGGUCCGCUCGGGACGGUCGGCAACCGUCCUUUUGAAUGCAAGAGUACAAGCGGGCUUGACUGCGAGGCCCACAAGCCGAGCAGGUGCGAAAGCAGGCUCUAGUGAUCCGGCGGCCCCGAGUGGGUGGGCCGUCGCUCAACGGAUAAAAGGUACUCCGGGGAUAACAGGCUGAUCUUGCCCAAGAGUCCACAUCGACGGCAAGGUUUGGCACCUCGAUGUCGGCUCAUCGCAUCCUGGGGCUGGAGCAGGUCCCAAGGGUACGGCUGUUCGCCGUUUAAAGCGGUACGCGAGCUGGGUUCAGAACGUCGUGAGACAGUUCGGUCCCUAUCCUCCGUGGGCGCAGGAGAAUCGAUGGAGGCUGCCCCCAGUACGAGAGGACCGGGGUGGACGCACCUCCGGUGAACCGGUUGUCGACCAACGGCACGGCCGGGUAGCCGCGUGCGGCGCGGAUAACCGCUGAAGGCAUCUAAGCGGGAAGCCGUUCCAGGGAUUAGUUCUCCUUCCGGUAAGGGCCCAGGUAGACUACCUGGUCGAUAGACGGCAGGUGCAAGGACGGCGACGUCCUCAGCCGAGCCGCACUAAUCGCCCGAGCUCUUCCGGAA